GUUCAGUGGUUAGAGCACCAGCCUGUGCACUGGAGAGUCUGGGUUCGAUUCCCAG
rnacentral:tRNA from 1 species